GACGAACGCUGGCGGCGUGCUUAACACAUGCAAGUCGAACGGAAAGGCCCUGCUUUUGUGGGGUGCUCGAGUGGCGAACGGGUGAGUAACACGUGAGUAACCUGCCCUUGACUUUGGGAUAACUUCAGGAAACUGGGGCUAAUACCGGAUAGGGGCUCCUGCUGCAUGGUGGGGGUUGGAAAGUUUCGGCGGUUGGGGAUGGACUCGCGGCUUAUCAGCUUGUUGGUGGGGUAGUGGCUUACCAAGGCUUUGACGGGUAGCCGGCCUGAGAGGGUGACCGGCCACAUUGGGACUGAGAUACGGCCCAGACUCCUACGGGAGGCAGCAGUGGGGAAUAUUGCACAAUGGGCGGAAGCCUGAUGCAGCAACGCCGCGUGCGGGAUGACGGCCUUCGGGUUGUAAACCUCUUUCGGUAGGGACGAAGCGCAAGUGACGGUACCUACUAAAGAAGCACCGGCCAACUACGUG
rnacentral:rRNA from 1 species